rnacentral:rRNA from 1 species
AGUGAACGCUGGCGGUAGGCCUAACACAUGCCAGUCGAACGGCAGCACAGUAAGUUCUUGCUCUUACGGGUGGCGAGUGGCGGACGGGUGAGGAAUACAUCGGAAUCUACUUUUUCGUGGGGGAUAACGUAGGGAAACUUACGCUAAUACCGCAUACGACCUACGGGUGAAAUCAGGGGUUCUUCUGACCUUGCGCGUUUUUAUGUGCCGAUGUCGGAUUAGCUAGUUGGCGGGGUAAAGGCCCACCAAGGCGACGAUCCGUAGAUGGUCUGAGAGGAUGAUAAGACACACGGGAAGGGAGAAAGGGACAAGAGGACGACGGGAGGGAGCAGAGGGGAAUAGGGGACAAUGGGGGAAAGCAUGAUCCAGCAAGACCGAGUGGGAGAAGAAGGCCUUCGGGUUGUAAAGACCUUUUGUUGGGAAAGAAAAGCAGCAGGUUAAUACCACGCUGUUAUGACGGUACCCAAAGAAUAAGCACCGGCUAACUUCGUG